GCUCCACAUGAAGGCCAGGCCCUUCCCUCAUGGCCUGAUGGCUUGGCCAAAGACAUCAACAAGGGCGAGGUCUCGGCCUGCCAGGAUCUGAAGCAGUGAGCUUGGUAUCUGGCUGAGAAGUACGAGUGGGACGUCACCGAAGCCAGGAAGAUGUGGUGCUUUGGUCCUGAUGGCACCAGCCCCCAUAUCCUCACCAACAUCACCAAGGGCGUGCAGUACCUCAACGACAUCGAGGACAGCGUGGCGGCUGGCUUCCAGUGGGCAACAAAGGAGGGGGUCCUGUGUGAGGAGAACAUGCGCGUGGUGCAUUUCGAUGUGCAUGAUGUCACCCUGCAUGCCGAUGCCAUCCAUCAUGGAGGGGGACAGGUCAUCCCCACAGCCAGGAGGUGCCUCUACGCCUGCGUCCUCACUGCCCAGCUACAGCUCAUGGAGCCCAUCUACCUGGUGGAGAUCCAGUGCCCAGAGCAUGUGGUGGGUGGCAUCUACAGUGUGCUGAACAGGAAGUGUGGCCACGUGUUUGAGGAGACCCAGGUGGCUGGAAUCCCCAUGUUCGUGGUCAAGGCAUACCUGCCUGUCAAUGAGUCCUUUGGUUUCACAGCAGAUUUGAGGUCCAACAUGGGGGGCCAGGCUUUCCCCCAGUGCAUCUUCGACCACUGGCAGAUCUGCCCGGGGACCCCUUAGACAGCACCAGCCGCCCCUGCCAGGUGGUGGCUGAGACCUGCAAGCGCAAAGGCCUCAAGGAAGGAAUCCCUGCCCUUGACAACUUCCUCGACAAACUCUAA